rnacentral:rRNA from 1 species
AUUGAACGCUGGCGGCAUGCUUUACACAUGCAAGUCGAACGGUAACAGGCCGCAAGGUGCUGACGAGUGGCGAACGGGUGAGUAAUGCAUCGGAACGUGCCCAGUCGUGGGGGAUAACGCAGCGAAAGCUGCGCUAAUCCCGCACACGAUCUAUGGAUGAAAGCGGGGGACCGUAAGGCCUCGCGCGAUUGGAGCGGCCGAUGUCAGAGUAGGUAGUUGGUGGGGUAAAGGCUCACCAAGCCAACGAUCUGUAGCUGGUCUGAGAGGACGACCAGCCACACUGGGACUGAGACACGGCCCAGACUCCUACGGGAGGCAGCAGUGGGGAAUUUUGGACAAUGGGCGCAAGCCUGAUCCAGCAAUGCCGCGUGCAGGAAGAAGGCCUUCGGGUUGUAAACUGCUUUUGUACGGAACGAAACGGUCCUGGUUAAUACCUGGGGCUAAUGACGGUACCGUAAGAAUAAGCACCGGCUAACUACGUGCCAGCCGCCGCGGUAA